AUUGAACGCUGGCGGCAUGCCUUACACAUGCAAGUCGAACGGCAGCACGGGUGCUUGCACCUGGUGGCGAGUGGCGAACGGGUGAGUAAUACAUCGGAACAUGUCCUGUAGUGGGGGAUAGCCCGGCGAAAGCCGGAUUAAUACCGCAUACGAUCUACGGAUGAAAGCGGGGGACCUUCGGGCCUCGCGCUAUAGGGUUGGCCGAUGGCUGAUUAGCUAGUUGGUGGGGUAAAGGCCUACCAAGGCGACGAUCAGUAGCUGGUCUGAGAGGACGACCAGCCACACUGGGACUGAGACACGGCCCAGACUCCUACGAGAGGCAGCAGUGGGGAAUUUUGGACAAUGGGCGAAAGCCUGAUCCAGCAAUGCCGCGUGUGUGAAGAAGGCCUUCGGGUUGUAAAGCACUUUUGUCCGGAAAGAAAUCCUUGGCCCUAAUACGGUCGGGGGAUGACGGUACCGGAAGAAUAAGCACCGGCUAACUACGUG
rnacentral:rRNA from 1 species